rnacentral:pre_miRNA from 1 species
GAAGGGAGAGAAGAGAGAGGGAGAGAAGAGAUAGAGAGAGACAUAGUGAGAUAAAGAGGGAGAAAGAGACAAUGGCAAGAGAGAAACUCUCUCUCACUUUAUCUCUCUCUCUCUUCUUGUACCUCUCAUCUU